rnacentral:misc_RNA from 1 species
CCAGAGAUGGCGGGCCCCCGCGCCCCCGUCCCCAACCCUUUGUUGACCAAAACCUUUUUGCCUCGGGGGCAGAGUGGCCGUCAGGCCGCCGCCCCCGGAGGACCACCAAACUCUGUCUCUGUACGUCGGAGUCUUUUGAUAAAUGAAUCA